UAUUGGAUCCAGACUUUGAUUUGGCUCAGGAUGAACGCUAGCUACAGGCUUAACACAUGCAAGUCGAGGGGAAACGACAUCGAAAGCUUGCUUUUGAUGGGCGUCGACCGGCGCACGGGUGAGUAACGCGUAUCCAACCUGCCCAUCACUUGGGGAUAACCUUGCGAAAGUAAGACUAAUACCCAAUGACGUCUCUAGAAGACAUCUGAAAGGGAUUAAAGAUUUAUCGGUGAUGGAUGGGGAUGCGUCUGAUUAGCUUGUUGGCGGGGUAACGGCCCACCAAGGCUACGAUCAGUAGGGGCUCUGAGAGGAAGGUCCCCCACAUUGGAACUGAGACACGGUCCAAACUCCUACGGGAGGCAGCAGUGAGGAAUAUUGGUCAAUGGACGAGAGUCUGAACCAGCCAAGUAGCGCGCAGGAUGACGGCCCUAUGGGUUGUAAACUGCUUUUAUAAGGGAAUAAAGUGAGUCUCGUGAGACUUUUUGCAUGUACCUUAUGAAUAAGGACCGGCUAAUUCCGUGCCAGCAGCCGCGGUAAUACGGAAGGUCCGGGCGUUAUCCGGAUUUAUUGGGUUUAAAGGGAGCGUAGGCCGGAGAUUAAGCGUGUUGUGAAAUGUAGAUGCUCAACAUCUGCACUGCAGCGCGAACUGGUUUCCUUGAGUACGCACAAAGUGGGCGGAAUUCGUGGUGUAGCGGUGAAAUGCUUAGAUAUCACGAAGAACUCCGAUUGCGAAGGCAGCUCACUGGAGCGCAACUGGCGCUGAAGCUCGAAAGUGCGGGUAUCGAACAGGAUUAGAUACCCUGGUAGUCCGCACGGUAAACGAUGGAUGCCCGCUGUUGGUCUGAAUAGGUCAGCGGCCAAGCGAAAGCAUUAAGCAUCCCACCUGGGGAGUACGCCGGCAACGGUGCAACUCAAAUGAAUUGACGGA
rnacentral:rRNA from 1 species